rnacentral:rRNA from 1 species
UACGUAGGGGGCAAGCGUUGUCCGGAAUCACUGGGCGUAAAGCGUGCGUAGGCGGUCCUGUAAGUCUGGGGUGAAAACUCAUGGCUCAACCAUGAGAAUGCCUUGGAAACUGUGGGACUUGAGUACUGGAGAGGCAAGGGGAAUUCCACGUGUAGCGGUGAAAUGCGUAGAUAUGUGGAGGAAUACCAGUGGCGAAGGCGCCUUGCUGGACAGUGACUGACGCUGAGGCACGAAAGCGUGGGGAG